UUGCGUUUUUCCAGGCUCUUGCAAGGCAGCUUAAACGGGCACUUAAGGGCUAGUGCUGGAGCGGCCGGGAGGGGCUGGGGCUGCUCCCCCAGCGCUGUUCCCGCAGCUCUGGGCCAUUACAGCUCCUCUCCCACCGCCUGGGUCUCCUGUGCCGGCAGCGAGGGGAGGGAGGGCUGUGCAACUCGACCCAAAGUGCUCUUGUGCGUUUUAAUCUGCUGGUUUAGUAUCUUAUGGCUUCCUGCCGUUAUCCCUUUCUGGGCUGGAGCCUGGGGUCACUCCUGGAGCUCUGCUGUGUGCAGGGCUGGAGGCAGCUCCCAGUGCUGCAGGCAGAGCUGGCCUUGCCCUGUUCUCUGUGGGGCACUGGUGUUCCCAGCUGAUGAUCCUGCCGUUCCAAGGUUCUGUUUGUCCUGCUGUUUUCCUUCAGCACCUCCAUCCCACACGUGCUGGAAAUCAGUGGCACCCCAAAAGCUCCUGCUGUUUUCCAGAAGAAAGCCGUUCAUUCCCUCAGCCUUUCUCUGCAGGCUGCAUCCCAGGCUGCUUCCCGAGGGAAUUCCUGCAGGGUUUGGAGUGCUGCGAGUGUUGGGAUCACAAGAGCUGCCAGCACUUCAUCUGCAGUCAGGAGGGAGCCGUGCUGUGAUCUCCGCGGGUCCCCCAGGGCAGAUCAUUGCUGUCAGCUUCAUCCUGAUGGAUGCUCUGCCGUUCCCGGCACUGCCCCAGGGGGAGGAGCAGCAGCAGCAGCAGCAGCAGCAGCAGGAGGAGGAGGAGGAGGAGAGGCCGGGAUUUGCCGGGAAGCGGAAUUCCAGCGGGAAGGGGACGCGCGGCUCGGUGUCCCCAAGGAGGGGUGGCAGGUCCGGCGUUGGCUGCGGGUGGUCAGCGGGGGUGUCCCCUCCUGCGGGGACAGAGGGACAAGGGCAGGGAAAUGGGAAAGGGCCGGGAAAAUCCUUGGGAAGGGCUCUGGCCGCUCCCCGCGUGUCGCGAUGUCCGCCCCAAAUUGAGGUUGGGGGGAGCAGGAUGGGGCCUGGGAAUGUCGCUGUCAUCCCCCCCUCCCCCGUGGCCUCCUCCCGGGGAUGGACACGCGGAGGGACAGGGGGACACACUCAGGGACAGAGGGACACAGACAGCGACACCCCGGGGGACANNNNNNNNNNNNNNNNNNNNNNNNNNNNNNNNUUCCCGAAUUCUCCAUCCCCGGUUCCCGAAUCCUCCAUCUCCGCCGCUCUCAUCCUCCAUCCCUGCUCCCGCAUUCUCCAUUCCUGA
rnacentral:lncRNA from 1 species